UACCACCUCGAGUACCAAAAUGAUA
rnacentral:siRNA from 1 species